UAUGCAAACAUCUGCAUAUAAAGUUUUAAUUAUUGAUUUUAACUGCAAAACUUUCUUAAUCCACAAAGAACAAUACUUGCUCAUUUCUGCUAAUGCUGCGUGUACCUCUUUGCAGGUAUAAGGGAUUUUACGAGUAUGCUAAAACAAAGGGAUUUGAAGUUGGUCUGCCAGUAGGACUUGACGUUUUAAUUGAUGGGACAGUUCCAACAGGAUCUGGAUUGUCGAGCUCUGCAGCAUUCGUAUGCUCUUCUACGAUUGCUAUCAUGGCUGCCUUCGAUGUUAGCUUGGCGAAGGAGCUCCCAAGAAAUGUCACACAUUUAAGGUGCUUCCAAGAAAUGUCAGACAAUGCAAGCGACCCACGGACCAUCAUAUAUGCAGAUAAACAGUGUAAAUUUGUCAGGUUAUUUGCUAUUCCUCCUUCGUUACUGAUGUCGUUGGCAAAUGCAUUAUUAGUUUUUUAUUUAGUGAAAUGAAAUUAAGUUUGUGUUCAGUCAUUUUUUGGACGUAUAUUGACUUCUAUGAUAUUGUUAAGCCUGUGUUAAAUCAUUUCUUGGACAUAUAUUUGCUUCUAUUUGAUUGCAAUAUCAAGCAUUGAUCUAAGAAAAUGAUAGAAUUGAAUUAUUACAAUAUGGCAGAUCUCUUACCAUUCGCAUUAUGUAUUCUGUAUAUUAAUCAUCAAUAUAUCAAGUAACUUUGUUGUGUUCCACAACUUUUGUAGCUUUAUGUGAAGAAAUGGUAAAAAUACUUUCACCGUUGUGGGAUUCUUUUUGUAUGUUGAUCAGCCAAGGGACCUUCUACAACCGUGAAUGUGAUACUGAGUCACAAAAUCUCACAUUCUCAGCUUAUAUUUGGAAACUAAAUAUAGAUGAGAACUUUUCAGUAGGAGCUCUGAGAAAAAUACACACAAUUUUGAUGGGCCUAAAGCUGGCUCAAGUUUGCAUCUUUGUGAUGAAGUGUCAGAUUAUGUGGUAAAGGCUAAUAAUAUCGUCGGAAAUCAUCAUGGGAACCAUAAAGAGAGUGAUGAUCUACUCUUGAUAUGCAAGCACAGCCCGUCAAAUUGAAAACCAGCAAUCCACUUUGUUUGAUAUACUUCAAAUAAAAUUCUCAACCUUGGAAAUGUGCCUUCUAAUAGAAGUACCUCUUCCCCUGUAUCAUUGUAGCAACAU